GUUUAUUAUCUUUGUCAUAACUAAAUGAACAAAAAUCAAAACAUCAUAAUAUAAGAAAUUAAUAAAAUAAAAAAUAUACUAAAUAACUCUAAAAGGUACAUUUGUAAGACUGAGACAACAGGCGUGUGGACCGUGUGGCGUCACAAUGUCAACGGUAAAUCUCCGGGUAAAUCUAAUUGAUAAUAAUUAUUAUAUUUAGAGAUAUUGGUCGAACUUCGGAAUCACAGCUAGGACGGCCGAUCCGAAUAAUCGUUCUCGACUGCCAACGUCGUGUUGUCGCAAUCAUCGUAAAUCGCAGCCGCUGCGGAGUUAUCCAGACUCGAC